rnacentral:rRNA from 1 species
AUAAGCGGAGGAAAAGAAACCAACAGGGAUUGCCUCAGUAACGGCGAGUGAAGCGGCAACAGCUCAAAUUUGAAAUCUGGCCCCCCGGGUCCGAGUUGUAAUUUGCAGAGGAUGCUUUUGGCGCGGUGCCUUCCGAGUUCCCUGGAACGGGACGCCAUAGAGGGUGAGAGCCCCGUACGGUUGGACACCAAGCCUGUGUAAAGCUCCUUCGACGAGUCGAGUAGUUUGGGAAUGCUGCUCAAAAUGGGAGGUAUAUUUCUUCUAAAGCUAAAUACCGGCCAGAGACCGAUAGCGCACAAGUAGAGUGAUCGAAAGAUGAAAAGCACUUUGAAAAGAGGGUUAAACAGCACGUGAAAUUGUUAAAAGGGAAGCGCUUGUGACCAGACUUGCGCCCGGUGAAUCACCCAGCUCUCGCGGCUGGGGCACUUUGCCGGCUCAGGCCAGCAUCAGCUCGCCGUCGGGGACAAAAGCUUCGGGAACGUAGCUCUCUUCGGGGAGUGUUAUAGCCCGCUGCACAAUACCCUUCGGCGGGCUGAGGUACGCGCUCCGCAAGGAUGCUGGCGUAAUGGUCAUCAGCGACCCGUCUUGAAACACGGACCAAGGAGUCAACCUUAUGUGCG